rnacentral:rRNA from 1 species
AGUCGAACGGUAACAGGAAGCAGCUUGCUUUUUUGCUGACGAGUGGCGGACGGGUGAGUAAUGUCUGGGAAACUGCCUGAUGGAGGGGGAUAACUACUGGAAACGGUAGCUAAUACCGCAUAACGUCGCAAGACCAAAGAGGGGGACCUUCGGGCCUCUUGCCAUCGGAUGUGCCCAGAUGGGAUUAGCUUGUUGGUGGGGUAACGGCUCACCUAGGCGACGAUCCCUAGCUGGUCUGAGAGGAUGACCAGCCACACUGGAACUGAGACACGGUCCAGACUCCUACGGGAGGCAGCAGUGGGGAAUAUUGCACAAUGGGCGCAAGCCUGAUGCAGCCAUGCCGCGUGUAUGAAGAAGGCCUUCGGGUUGUAAAGUACUUUCAGCGGGGAGGAAGGGAGUAAAGUUAAUACCUUUGCUCAUUGACGUUACCCGCAUAAUAUGCACCGGCUAACUCCGUGCCAGCAGCCGCGGUAAUACGGAGGGUGCAAGCGUUAAUCGGAAUUACUGGGCGUAAAGCGCACGCAGGCGGUUUGUUAAGUCAGAUGUGAAAUCCCCGGGCUCAACCUGGGAACUGCAUCUGAUACUGGCAAGCUUGAGUCUCGUAGAGGGGGGUAGAAUUCCAGGUGUAGCGGUGAAAUGCGUAGAGAUCUGGAGGAAUACCGGUGGCGAAGGCGGCCCCCUGGACGAAGACUGACGCUCAGGUGCGAAAGCGUGGGGGAGCAAACAGGAUUAGAUACCCUGGUAGUCCACGCCGUAAACGAUGUCGACUU